rnacentral:lncRNA from 10 species
GAUUGCAACACAAUACCACAGUGAGGAAAGCCAGAUGUUGCCCACAUCCCCCUCGGAGAAACCCGCCAGGGGCAUGUUGGGACGUUGGGAGUGUGAGCCCUGGAGACAGUGUUGUGGCAGGGAUCCAGGUUCUCCCAGCUGCCGGCCACAGGGCUCUGCCCAGGGGUCCUGAGUUUCCUCAAUGGCAUUCUAAUCCAUGAGUGUUCAGAGAGAGCAGGUGGGCUCCCCUACCCGGCGCCUUCCGACCGGCAUCUGGAAAAGGAUAGUCAGAAACGCAGUGAAAAUUACGCCUGCAACCCUGGCAGGCAGGGAAGCACUUAAUAACUUACGUGGGUGUCAGGGCAAGGGAGGCGUCCGCAGACCAGAGUUGUGAUGGACCGUUCUCCACCAUGUGAUGUUCAUUUUCUCCACUGAGAUUAAAAAAGAAGAGGAAAGGAAAGAAGGAAAGUGCACAACCUCCUUGAAAAGACAGCUCCUCCUGCCGAAAAUGUGUUGCAGACUCGGUCAGUCAGGUGGACUUAAUUGGAAGGCACUUUCUUUUUGAUGGAAAAAGAAGGAGAAAGAUU